CAAUGGCACUGCCCGGUAGCUAAAUGCGGAAGAGAUAAGUGCUGAAAGCAUCUAAGCACGAAACUUGCCCCGAGAUGAGUUCUCCCUGAGACUUUAAGUCUCCUGAAGGAACGUUAAAGACGAUGACGUUGAUAGGCCGGGUGUGUAAGCGCAGCGAUGCGUUGAGCUAACCGGUACUAAUGAACCGUGAGGCUUAACCUU
rnacentral:rRNA from 1 species